AUUGAACGCUGGCGGCGUGCUUAACACAUGCAAGUCGUGCGGUAACAGGCGUAGCAAUACGUGCUGACGAGCGGCGAACGGGUGCGUAAUACAUGGGAAUCUGCCUUUUAGUGGGGAAUAACCCGGCGAAAGCCGGGCUAAUGCCGCAUAAGAUCUUCGGAUGAAAGCGGGGGAUCGUAAGACCUCGCGCUGAUAGAUGAGCCCAUGCCGGAUUAGCUAGUGGUGAGGUAACGGCUCACCAAGGCGACGAUCCGUAGCUGGUCUGAGAGGACGGCCAGCCACACUGGGACUGAGACACGGCCCAGACUCCUACGGGAGGCAGCAGUGGGGAAUAUUGGACAAUGGGGGAAACCCUGACCCAGCAAUGCCGCGUGAGUGAAGAAGGCCUUA
rnacentral:rRNA from 1 species